AUAUCUUUCUGGACCUUUGCCACCUUGGAAACCCCUGCCCUAGGUUGACUAGGUGAAGAGGAAGCAGGGGAUGGGGAAAGUUCAAGAAUGCCCCUGUAGGCUCCAGGACACCAUGUGGGAGAGCUGCUAACAGGUUUUGGAGGACUUUAUGUUCAAGGGGACUUUGUUGUUUGUUUUGAGUAAAUGUGGGGUUUUAUUUAUUUUUACCCCAGUACGCACUGGAAAGGGGAGAGGUUAGUGGAGGAGUGGCGGAGCGAGUUCUGGGCCAUCUCUGCCCAGGGUAUAAACGCAGCCCACUCCCCCAGCCGGUCUUGGCAAUAAGACCGCAGAAACCUACCCACAUCCUGGUUCACUCUCUCCACCUGCCCGUUACUCUCGGGGUGAAAACCUGAGGUAAGGCUGACCGAGACCCCCAGACAUUCCAUGAAUGCCCUCCAGACCCUUGACGUGAACUGGGGACCUCGAUCAGAUACAAUGUCCUCAGGCACCAGUAGUGCCGGAAAAUGACCUGCUCGCAAACACAGACAUGGCUGGUGGCCCAUGAGCGAGUUUUUUAUGACCUUUGUGCUAUUUCUCUGUUGUCAUAAUCAAUAUUGAGCAUUUUGCUGACCAGUGGUUGACAUUCAAAGUCCAACUUUCAUCAUCAAAGAGAGUGAGACCUGCUCUGACUUUGUCAGUCACUCAGUCAAAACCGAAAACGUAAUGAGGGUGCCAAAAAAGGGCUCUUGUUGCGAAAUGUGUGAAAUUAAUCUACUUAUUUCCUAAAAGUUCUGGUUCUGCUGGUCCGUGUCAGGCGAGGGGCUUUCAGUACCUCGUGGAGUGGGAGCGUGUACGGUCCGGAGGAGAGAUGCUGGGUGAGACAGCACAGCCCCUGUCCCAGCCUCGGACGCAUCCACCUCAACUAUGAACGCUAAGGAGGGAUCAGGAUGAGCCAGCACGGGAGCCGAGGAAAACAGAGCCUUCAGUUGACUAAAAGCCCUGUCCACCUCAGUGAACUCUUGAGUACUCCUCAUCCCCUGUCUUAAAUGGAACAAUUGUUCCCCCGCCUCUAUCCCUUCAGGUGGGUGAUUGAAACUGCCUGGAAGUGGCGGGUGAAACCUUCGUAGUUGUCCAACGUCGGGCCUUCUCUUCCCCAGAUGGCGUUGGCCCAGACCAGUGAUUUUCCAGUUAGACGAGAUGAGGGCGCUCACUCUCUCGCGUCCCAAGGGGGCCGGCUAAACAGCUGCCAGGUAGAGCUUCAGCUGGAGUAGGAACCUCUGGCACACGGCAGCCGUUCCAUCAUACGCUCCUGGGAGCGAGAGCCGAAUCUCACUGGAACCUGAUGAAGGAGGUGUGGACAUCUGGGUCGGUUGUUGUGGGAACUGGGGAGGUGCUGAUGGGUGAACCGGAAAACCCCUUCUCUCCCAUCGGUCCAUGGUUUGCAGCACCGAUCCAUGGCUGUACCAAGACUUUGUAACAUGGUCGCAUGCUGCUGAACACGCUCCUCCAUUGGGAGAGGAGGGCUGGCUGUACCUGCUGACUCCAUUUAAGAUAUUCUACUGCAGUUGAUGUUUCACGUCUACUCCUGCUCCCUCCCUCUCUCCAGCGCUCGAAGUCACCGGUCUACUAACCACCGGUCCUGGCAACCCAUCAUUACGAACACCUGCGCCUCAUCAUUAGGCACACCUGAACUUCAUCACUUCCCUGAUUAAUCCCCCUUCCCCCUCUAGCACUCCGUUGUUGUCACCCAUUAGUCAGUAUUGUUUCUGUGUUGUGUUUAGGCUCGACUCUUCUUCCUGUAUCAAUGCUAUGUUUGUUCUUAUUAAACUCACCCCCUGCUUCCUGA